GGUCCAGGCGCAGCGAUGGCUCAGGUUCAAGAUGUAGCUUGUCCCAGUCAGGAAGGUGCCUCUCCUAACUUUGAAGUGAUUCAAGAUAUGGAGAGUGGAAGCAGCAGGAAUGGUAGGAGUGCAGAGGAGUCCCUGAGUCUCCGGAAUGGAACAGAAACAAGGAAUAUACACAGAAGGACCCCUGGAAAAUGUCAGGCUCCAGGCAAUUGGUUCAGAUCCCACCCGGUGCUCACCGUGGUGCUG